rnacentral:rRNA from 1 species
GACGAACGCUGGCGGCGUGCCUAACACAUGCAAGUCGAGCGGAGAUAAGCGGAUGGUAACUGAAGUUUGUCUUAGCGGCGGACGGGUGAGUAACACGUGGGCAACCUGCCUUGGAGUGGGGGAUAACACCGGGAAAUCGGUGCUAAUACCGCAUAACAUACACAAACUGCAUGGUAAGUGUAUCAAAGGAGCAAUCCGCUUUAAGAUGGGCCCGCGGCUGAUUAGCUAGUUGGUAAGGUAACGGCUUACCAAGGCGACGAUCAGUAGCCGACCUGAGAGGGUGACCGGCCACACUGGAACUGAGACACGGUCCAGACUCCUACGGGAGGCAGCAGUGGGGAAUAUUGCGCAAUGGGGGGAACCCUGACGCAGCAACGCCGCGUGGAGGAAGAAGGUCUUCGGAUUGUAAACUUCUUUGAUCAGGGAAGAAAGAAAUGACGGUACCUGAAGAACAAGCCACGGCUAACUACGUG